rnacentral:rRNA from 1 species
GAUGCAAGCGUUAUCCGGAAUGAUUGGGCGUAAAGCGUCCGCAGGUGGCUAUGUAAGUCUGCUGUUAAAGAGUGAGGCUCAACCUCAUAAGAGCAGUGGAAACUACAUGGCUAGAGUGCGUUCGGGGCAGAGGGAAUUCCUGGUGUAGCGGUGAAAUGCGUAGAGAUCAGGAAGAACACCGGUGGCGAAAGCGCUCUGCUAGGCCGCAACUGACACUCAUGGACGAAAGCUAGGGGAGCGAAUGGG